AAGGCUCAAUGGUUAGAGCGCCGGUCCGCACACCGGAGGGUCUCGGGUUCGACUCCCGGU
rnacentral:tRNA from 1 species